rnacentral:lncRNA from 1 species
AUUUCUUAGCUGAAGUGUGUGUAACUGUCGUUCAUCUGGCAAUAUCAUUCUUCCUCAACAGGAUUCAUCAAUUGAAACCCCUGUGGAUGAUGGAAAUCUAACACUUCUUGCAGUGAAGAUACACCAGAAAGAUAAGCCUGAGCAGCGGAGACGUCAGCGCCGAUGGUAGCUGAACUACAGCUGUAAGACUGCCAAAAAACCUCUGAACUGUGCGGAUCGUUGACUGUCAGGACAACGUAGAUUUGGCCAGACAAGUGAGAUCAAAGGGCCAUCUAGCCCCAUAUACUGGCUCAGAGUGGCCUACAGUUUAUAUUCAAGGAAAAAAAUAAAAGACUAAGGUAAGCAUACA